GUGAUGUCACUACCAGUGUCUAAAACCAUGUAGAAUUCUUUAGGCGGUUGGCCCAACCCGAGCCGAGUGAAAUACUCGCCGCUCCCCUGACUAGCUCCUGAAGUAAUAGGAGUUUGGAGGUCUUCGGGUUGCAAAAUGGUUUGAACCGGCUUGAGAUCCGAAUGGGUAAAGUUGGAGAGUGAGAGGGUGAGCUUCAUGGUCAGUGAGGAAACUCGGGCCGAGUCACGUUCGAGUCGAGAGAGAGUGAGUGAUGCAUAGUCCUUAUGACGUGGCUUAACUAGAGCUGAACGAGGAUAAAUUGAAACAGAGAUUGAAGAAGUAUUAGCAGGGGUAC
rnacentral:lncRNA from 1 species